rnacentral:rRNA from 1 species
AUGGAUUGCCUUAGUAGCGGCGAGUGAAGCGGCAAAAGCUCAAAUUUGAAAUCUGGCGCCUUCGGUGUCCGAGUUGUAAUUUGAAGAUUGUAACCUUGGGGUUGGCUCUUGUCUAUGUUUCUUGGAACAGGACGUCACAGAGGGUGAGAAUCCCGUGCGAUGAGAUGCCCAAUUCUAUGUAAGGUGCUUUCGAAGAGUCGAGUUGUUUGGGAAUGCAGCUCUAAGUGGGUGGUAAAUUCCAUCUAAAGCUAAAUAUUGGCGAGAGACCGAUAGCGAACAAGUACAGUGAUGGAAAGAUGAAAAGAACUUUGAAAAGAGAGUGAAAAAGUACGUGAAAUUGUUGAAAGGGAAGGGUUUGAGAUCAGACUCGAUAUUUUGUGAGCCUUGCCUUCGUGGCGGGGUGACCCGCAGCUUAUCGGGCCAGCAUCGGUUUGGGCGGUAGGAUAAUGGCGUAGGAAUGUGACUUUACUUCGGUGAAGUGUUAUAGCCUGCGUUGAUGCUGCCUGCCUAGACCGAGGACUGCGAUUUUAUCAAGGAUGCUGGCAUAAUGAUCCCAAACCGCCCGUCUUGAACCCCGGGACCAAAAGAAA